GGGGAAUAUUGGACAAUGGGCGCAAGCCUGAUCCAGCCAUGCCGCGUGAGUGAUGAAGGCCUUAGGGUUGUAAAGCUCUUUCACCGAUGAAGAUAAUGACGGUAGUCGGAGAAGAAGCCCCGGCUAACUUCGUGCCAGCAGCCGCGGUAAUACGAAGGGGGCUAGCGUUGUUCGGAUUUACUGGGCGUAAAGCGCACGUAGGCGGAUUGGUCAGUUAGAGGUGAAAUCCCGAAGCUCAACUUCGGAACUGCCUUUAAUACUGCCAGUCUCGAGUCCGGAAGAGGUAAGUGGAACUCCUAGUGUAGAGGUGGAAUUCGUAGAUAUUAGGAAGAACACCAGUGGCGAAGGCGGCUUACUGGUCCGGAACUGACGCUGAGGUGCGAAAGCGUGGGGAGCAAAC
rnacentral:rRNA from 1 species